GGGGAAAGUAAUUUUCUGAGGAGAUUCCAGACUCUUGAAACCACUCAUGUCUGUUUAUCAUGCACCUCUAAACAGGAGGAUCUUUCACGAAAGGAGGGGAGUCACUGGGUUCGGAUUCUCUCACCGCAGUGACUCACACAACGAUGGACAGAGUUCCUGGACCUGGAUGGAGUAUGGGAGCUGCUCAAAGGAAUGUAGCUGUUGCAACUCAGGUUCUUGUAUUUUUUCCUUUGCCCAUUUUCAUGUGUGCAUGUGUGUGUGUGUGUGUGUGUGUGUGUGUGUGUGUGCGCCCGCGCGCGCACAGGUUCACAUGUGUGUUUGUGCGUUCGUGUGCAUGUUUGCAUGUUUGCAUGUGUGUGCAUGUGUUCGUGCUCAUUUGCAAGUGUGAAUGUACCCAUUUGCAUGUGUGCAUGUGUGCACGUGUGUACAAAUUUGCAUAUGUGAGUGUACAUGUUUGCAUGUGUGUGCAUGUAUGUUCGUGCACAUGUUUGCAUAUGUGAGUGUACAUGUUUGCAUGUGGGCAUGUACGUGUGUACAUGUGUGGCAUCACUCAGUGUUGCCUUAUGCUCCUGGGCUAAUAAUGGUUUCAGAACCCAUUUCAAUGGUUUUGACUAACUAGAAGUUCCUGGAUGGGGCUAGAGAGCUGGCUCAGCAGUUAAGAGCUCUUGCUGUUCUUUUAGGGAGACAGAGAUUUGGUUUCCAGCACUCACAGUGGGUGCUCACAGCUGUUUAUAACCCCACUUCUAGGGGCUCUGACAGUCUUUUCUGGACUCUGACAUACAUAAUAAAAUAAAUAAAUAAUACAAUAAAAUAAAUCUAAAAUGUUACUGGAAGUAUGGUGACACAUAUUCCUUUUUUAAAUUUCUUCUUUCAUAUAACUGAUCCCAACCACAGCUUUCCCGCUGUCCACUCCUCCCAGUUCCCCACACCUUCCCUCUCUGCCAGAUAUUCCCCCUUCCCCUCUCCACCCCAAUAAAGAGCAGAUCUCCCAGGGUCAUCAACCUAAGGUGGCACAUCAAGAUACAAUAAGAUCAGGCACAAGCACUCACAUCAAACCUGGGUGAGGGAACCCGGUGGGAGGAAAGGGACCCCAUGAGCAGACGAAAGGGUCAGAGACGCCCCACCUCCACUGUCAGGAGUCACACAAAAACGCCAAACCGACAACCAUAACAUAUAUGCAGAAGACUCAUUACAGGCCUGUGCAGGUUCAGUGAGCCCUCAUGAGCCCUAUGAGUUGAUUCUGCAGGCCAUGCUACCUCCACUCCCCACUUUCCAUCCCCCAUGGCUCUCACAAUUCCCUCUCCCCUUCUUCUGCAGGGUUUCCUGAACUCCAAGGCAAGGGACCUGAUGAAGACCUCCAACCUGGACUCUUUCUCCUCCUGAGCCAUACUUUGAAUCUCGGCAUUUGGGAGUCAGGGCAGGAGGAUCCCUGUGAGUUCUACACCAGCCAGGAUUAAGUAAUGAGUAAAAAUCAGGAAGAAAGAAAGAA
rnacentral:lncRNA from 1 species